AUGUAUACUCCUACAUGCUUCUCCUCUUCCUCUCAUGAUUUUAUAGCAAAUCUCACACAUCAUGUAAUUUCCUCCCCGACUUUCUUGGUAUGUGUCUGUAAAAGAUACAAUUCUUGUUUGUUUUUUCAAGACAAGGUCUCUGUCAACCAGGCUGGAGUUCAGUGGCAUGAUCUUGGUUCACUGUGGCCUCUCCUGCCUCAGCUUCUCAGUAGCUGGGAUUACAGGCAAGUCUGAGAACUGAGAGGGACGUACAGGAUUGAUUUGGAAGCCAGAAUUAGGAUUGUCAGAGCUGGGAAAGCAGAAGCAAGGCAAGAGUGUGCCCAGGAGUGGGGUACGCAGCGGCUCCGUGGUAUGCUGCAUGCACAGGAGUGGGCAUACUCCAUAGUAUGCCGUCUGUCCUCUUUUAUGUCAGGCCAGCUCCAGCCCAGCAGAUGAGAAUCACCUGAUGGGUAGAAAGAGUGGACUCAGGUAAAAUCUCUGAUCGUGCAUCAUAACUGAGAGACUGAAAAUGUUUGCCUUAUGGGUCAUAAAACUAAUACAAGUGACAACAUAGGGAUAAUAGAGUAGGUCAGUAAAUGCAGUAAGCCACCUGCCACCUCUUCAGAACUUCAACCAUCCCACAGAAAUGUUGGAGCAGCAGGAUUUGACAAAGCUUGUGAGAAGAGCUCUCAGUCCAGGGUCCAGGGCAUGAUCUAGAGGACUCAGGUGUUCUAGGAGCUCUAUCCCCGGGGAACCAACUACAUUAUUACCUCAGAUCUGUCACUCCUCACUGUGGUGACUCUGGGCAAGUCACUCAAAACGCCUGAGUUUUAAUUCACUGAAUUGGAAAAUAUGGGUUGUAGCCCCUUCCCUGCCUGUCCUUUGGGGCUUAUGUGGGGAUCAGGGAAAUCACAGAUCUCUGUCAUGAGCUGGAAAUCAUGUGGCCAUGGAAACUGUGAAGUCACUUUCCAUCCUACCCUGCACAGGAGACAUGCAAGCUCCCACUCUAUAUUCAACCACUACCAAGUAUCUGGAUUUUCCUUCUCGACACUGAAUGAUUGAACAUUUUAGGGUAUUUACAAAAAAAAAUAAGUCUUUUUAAGUCUUUAUCUGCAUUUCAUCCUUUUAGGCGCUAUAGACCUUAGUAGGUCUAUAGCAUAGAUCUACCAAUGUUUCUACAUCUCAGAAUAGGGAAGAGAGGCACAGAUGGGUUCAUAUUCGUCUCCCAGGUAUGUGCAGAUUCUAAGUAGGAUUUGAACCCAGCCUAUUCUUGGUAACUUGGAUUUUCUGCUUUUCUAUAUUGUCUCUGAAUAAAGGUAUCUGCCUGGACAAACAAAUCUUCCUAGAACCC
rnacentral:lncRNA from 1 species